AGCGAACGUUUGCGGCGGGCCUAACACAUGCAAGUCGAACGGGCUACUUCGGUAGUCAGUGGCGCACGGGUGCGUAACACGUGGGUAAUCAACCCUCUAGACUGGGAUAACCCGGGGAAACUCGAGCUAAUACCAGAUGUGUCGCCCUGAUCCUCGGAUCGGGUCGAGAAAAGGUCGCAAGGCCUGUUAGAGGACGAGCCCGCGGCCCAUCAGCUUGUUGGUGAGGUAAUGGCUCACCAAGGCUAAGACGGGUAGCUGGUCUGAGAGGAUGGCCAGCCACACUGGAACUGAGACACGGUCCAGACUCCUACGGGAGGCAGCAGUGGGGAAUAUUGCGCAAUGGGCGAAAGCCUGACGCAGCCACGCCGCGUGAGCGAUGAAGGCC
rnacentral:rRNA from 1 species